UACGUAGGGUGCAAGCGUUGUCCGGAAUUAUUGGGCGUAAAGAGCUCGUAGGCGGUUUGUCGCGUCGACUGUGAAAACCCGAGGCUUAACCUCGGGCCUGCAGUCGAUACGGGCAGACUAGAGUUCGGUAGGGGAGACUGGAAUUCCUGGUGUAGCGGUGAAAUGCGCAGAUAUCAGGAGGAACACCGGUGGCGAAGGCGGGUCUCUGGGCCGAAAUUGACGCUGAGGAGCGAAAGCGUGGGGAGCAAGCAGG
rnacentral:rRNA from 1 species